GUAAAUAUAAAAUGAUUUUCUGGAGAAGUGAAACCGAGGCCUGACAUUUUAACAAGUUAUUUAUCAGCAGUUCCUUUUCCACUUGUUUGCCUCAUUUGAAAUUGAUUUCAAGUCUAAGAAUCAAGUGGAAAGACAUCGUCACCCCAUUGAUUACCACUUCAACUGGCAGGGAAGUUUUUUGAAGCUCUUUUUUAAUUGCAGAACAUAUUCAGCUAAUUAGUUGGAGGUCUUCUCCCACAGGCAGUUGACUUUGGAGUCUCCUGACUGCGCUGAUGAUGAUGAUAGAAGGGCCCGUAAUGACCCUGUCACAUACGGACACUUGAGAGAGCAAAAACUUUUUGGAGAUCGCUGCUGCACUUCAAAGCUACGACCCGACCGAACCGACAC
rnacentral:lncRNA from 1 species